GCCCGGUCUAGAGAGGAGUGGGAGUGCUCCAGGAAGCGUUCGGCGGAGCUGCUGUGGGAAUAUUUACGCGGGUCCACCUUGACGGAAUGACAAUAAAGGUGGCGAAGGUUGCAGGUGAGCUGGAGCUUUUCCCUUUGCUGACUUUGAGCAAGAGUUGAGGUACACCUUCACAGGUGUCUUGAAUGAACCGAACAUGCAUAUUUUUGGGAUGUGGAAGGAAGCCAGAUCACCUGAAGUAAAGCCACGCUGGCAGAGAUUCCAAACAGAAUUGUGAGGUGGAUGUACGUACUAAGCACUUGUCCACCAUGCCUUGAUAUUUCAAAUGGUCCAAAAUAACGUUAAACUGCACAUUUGUCCUUCCGGGAGUUCUUCUGUUUCCAUCCAUCCAUUCAUACAGCCAUUUUCCAGUGUAUUGAUUUUAUUGUAUGUAUUGUAUUUGUAUGUAUUUCAAUAAAGUCAUUAAAAAAAAAUUCCA